GACAGAGGAUGCAAGCGUUAUCCGGAAUGAUUGGGCGUAAAGCGUCUGUAGGUGGCUUUUUAAGUCCGCCGUCAAAUCCCAGGGCUCAACCCUGGACAGGCGGUGGAAACUACCAAGCUGGAGUACGGUAGGGGCAGAGGGAAUUUCCGGUGGAGCGGUGAAAUGCGUAGAGAUCCGGAGGAACACCGACGGCGCAGGCAGCGUCCUGGCCGCUUGCUGACACUGAGGCACGAAAGCUGGGGGAGCAAACAGG
rnacentral:rRNA from 1 species